rnacentral:miRNA from 12 species
UGUUAGAAUACAUAUAUAUAUGUAUGUGUGUGUGUGUGUGUGUGUGUAUAUAUAUACAUACAUA